rnacentral:rRNA from 1 species
GUCGAGCGAAUUCCGGCAGCGUACCGCCGGAGUUAGCGGCAGACGGGUGAGUAAUACUUGGGCAAUCUGCCCUUGAGUGGGAAACAACCUGACGAAAGUCGGGCUAAUGUCCCAUAAGACCACAGGAUGGCAUCAUCUAGGGGUCAAAGCUCCGCAAGGGGCGCUUGAGGAGGAGCCCGAGUCCUAUCAGGUUGUUGGUGAGGUAAUGGCUUACCAAGCCUUUGACGGGUAGCCGGCCUGAAAGGGUGACCGGCCACACUGGCACUGAGACACGGGCCAGACUCCUACGGGAGGCAGCAGUGGGGAAUUUUGGACAAUGGGGGCAACCCUGAUCCAGCGACGCCGCGUGAAGGAUGAAGGUCUUCGGAUUGUAAACUUCUUUUGAUGGGGAUGAAUGCCCUGGUGAAUAGCCAGGGGUGACAGUACCCAUUGAAUAAGCCACGGCUAACUACGUGCCAGCAGCCGCGGUAAUACGUAGGUGGCAAGCGAUACUCGGAAUCACUAGGCGUAAAGCGCAGGUAGGCGGUUCGGUAAGUCUUUUGUGAAAGCUCCCGGCUCAACUGGGAGAGGUCAAAGGAAACUACCGGGCUGGAGUGUGGUAGGGGAUACUGGAAUUCCCGGUGUAGCGGUGAAAUGCGUAGAUAUCGGGAGGAAUACCUAUGGCGAAAGCAGGUAUCUGGGCCAUCACUGACGCUGAGCUGCG